rnacentral:rRNA from 1 species
GACGAACCGUGCGAACGUUAUUCGGAUUCACUGGGCUUAAAGGGCGCGUAGGCGGGCUCGCCAGUCAGGGGUGAAAGCCCACGGCUCAACCGUGGAAGUGCCUUUGAUACUGCGAGUCUCGAGGGAGGUAGGGGCGUGCGGAACUUCCGGUGGAGCGGUGAAAUGCGUAGAUAUCGGGAGGAACACCUGUGGCGAAGGCGGCCACCUGGUUGGAUACUGACGCUGAGACGCGAAAGCGUGGGGAGCAAACAGG